rnacentral:rRNA from 1 species
GUUGAGCGAUCUUCUUCGGAAGAGAGCGGCGGACGGGUGAGUAACGCGUGGGUAACCUGCCCUGUACACACGGAUAACAUACCGAAAGGUAUGCUAAUACGGGAUAACAUAAGAAAUUCGCAUGUUUUUCUUAUCAAAGCUCCGGCGGUACAGGAUGGACCCGCGUCUGAUUAGCUAGUUGGUGAGGUAACGGCUCACCAAGGCGACGAUCAGUAGCCGACCUGAGAGGGUGAUCGGCCACAUUGGAACUGAGACACGGUCCAAACUCCUACGGGAGGCAGCAGUGGGGAAUAUUGCACAAUGGGCGAAAGCCUGAUGCAGCAACGCCGCGUGAGCGAUGAAGGCCUUCGGGUCGUAAAGCUCUGUCCUCAAGGAAGAUAAUGACGGUACUUGAGGAGGAAGCCCCGGCUAACUACGUGCCAGCAGCCGCGGUAAUACGUAGGGGGCUAGCGUUAUCCGGAUUUACUGGGCGUAAAGGGUGCGUAGGCGGUCCUUUAAGUCAGGAGUGAAAGGCUACGGCUCAACCGUAGUAAGCUCUUGAAACUGGAGGACUUGAGUGCAGGAGAGGAGAGUGGAAUUCCUAGUGUAGCGGUGAAAUGCGUAGAUAUUAGGAGGAACACCAGUAGCGAAGGCGGCUCUCUGGACUGUAACUGACGCUGAGGCACGAAAGUGUGGGGAGCAAACAGGAUUAGAUACCCUGGUAGUCCACGCCGUAAACGAUGAGUACUAGCUGUCGGAGGUUACCCCCUUCGGUGGCGCAGCUAACGCAUUAAGUACUCCGCCUGGGGAGUACGCUCGCAAGAGUGAAACUCANAGGAAUUGACGGGGACCCGCACAAGUAGNGGAGCAUGUGGUUUAAUUCGAAGCAACGCGAAGAACCUUACCUAUGCUUGACAU